AGAAAAGAUAUUUUUUCUCUCAUCAAGCUUUAUAAUCUAUUAUUAUAAAAAGUUAUAUUAAAUAAAACUUUGACAAAUUCUGAUCUUUACCAAAUCAGUAUUUCUUCGUACUUCGACGAGUGAAUAUCGAAGUUUUCUCUUUCUAAAUAUGAAAAUUUAUAAAUUAAUCAUUUCGGUAAUUUUAUGAUUAUUGAAACAAUAUAUAAUGUACGCAGAGUACAAUAAAUUAAUAUUUAAACAAUAAUACAUUCAUUUAACCAUUACGAAGAACGUAAAGCGCGAAAAACUUCUGAUAAUUUUCAAAUAAAUUCCACAUUUAAAAAUUUUCAUCUAGGGCUUGUGGAGCGUAUAUAAACAUACACACGGUAUAUAAACAUUUUGUGUAUAUAAAUAUACACGGUCCUCUUUCUAUCAUUUUGGCAAUUAUCGAGUUAGUUCUCUUUUGUACUCCUACGUCUGUACGUCUUUACUAUCUCUUUCUAAACGUGAAAACUUAUAAUUUAAUAAUUUCGAGAAGUAUAAUUUGGAAAAGGGUUUUUUCUUGCUUUCUAUUAAAUUUUUACUAUAUACAACAAUUUCUCUCACAUAUUAGCUCGAUUGUUAGAUUAUUCUUGAGAGAGAAACAGAGAGAGAGAGAGAGAGAGAGAGAGAGAGAGAGACA